rnacentral:rRNA from 1 species
UACAGAGGGUGCUAGCGUUGUUCGGAAUCAUUGGGCGUAAAGGGCGUGUAGGCGGUUUGUUAAGUCAUGUGUGAAAUCCCUCGGCUCAACCGGGGAACGACGCAUGAAACUGGCAAGCUAGAGUACCAAAGAGGGGGGUGGAAUUCCCGGUGUAGCGGUGAAAUGCGUAGAUAUCUGGAGGAACACCGGUGGCGAAGGCGGCGUUCUGGACUGCAACUGACACUGAGAAACGAAAGCCAGGGGAGCAAACGGG